UCUCGUCCGCUGUCAUCUCUCCAAACAAUCACAAUACCGUUACACCAAUAGAGAAUAGAAUAAUAAACAAUAACAAAAAUCGGGCCCACGUUCCCAAACAAUCAAGAGCACGGAUGACUGAUGCAUCACAGAACAACGGAUGUAUCUCUCGUUUCAGGGCUGCGUGAACAAUAGUAGCUAGUUGGUCUGUGUGAUCUGAUUCGAUCCAAUCCGAUCGGUCAAGCGGAGUGUAAGGUGAUUAGACGAGCUCGAGCCGUGCUGAGCACUCGGCGUACCUGGAGCGGCGGAUGUUGGCCCGGCACGUCCUCUCCGAACGAAGCAACCAAGCCCGAUGACUGCAGAGGCUGUGAAUACGCGCCUUCUUGCCGUCGCUCAUCUACUACUGCCCGCUUAGGCUGCCUUUGAGGGCGGUGGGCGUCGGGCACGGACUAACGCUCCAGCCACCAGGAGUCGAUGCUCGAGCCGCGUCAAUCCAGGCCGGGGAGGGGACUCUGGUGCGGCUGGUUUGAGCCGG
rnacentral:lncRNA from 1 species